GACGAACGCUGGCGGCGUGCUUAACACAUGCCAGUCGAACGGAAAGGCCCUGCUUUUGUGGGGUGCUCGAGUGGCGAACGGGUGAGUAACACGUGAGUAACCUGCCCUUGACUUUGGGAUAACUUCAGGAAACUGGGGCUAAUACCGGAUAGGAGCUCCUGCUGCAUGGUGGGGGUUGGAAAGUUUCGGCGGUUGGGGAUGGACUCGCGGCUUAUCAGCUUGUUGGUGGGGUAGUGGCUUACCAAGGCUUUGACGGGUAGCCGGCCUGAGAGGGUGACCGGCGACAUUGGGACUGAGAGACGGACCAGACUCCUACGGGAGGCAGCAGUGGGGAAUAUUGCGCAAUGGGCGGAAGCCUGAUGCAGCAACGCCGCGUGCGGGAUGACGGCCUUCGGGUUGUAAACCGCUUUCGCCUGUGACGAAGCGUGAGUGACGGUAAUGGGUAAAGAAGCACCGGCUAACUACGUG
rnacentral:rRNA from 1 species